rnacentral:rRNA from 1 species
CAACUCGGACUAGUCUAGUGAGUCGCAGCAGCUAGCGAGUGCGAACGGCUCAGCGAACGUAGACUUCAUGCCCACUGGACGUGGAUAACCUCGGAAAACUGAUCAUAAACCGCGAUAGGCCAAGGCUUCUGGAAUGAGCCAUGUGCGAAAUCUAUAUGGCCUUUGGAUUGUACUGCGGCCGAUCAGGCUGUUGGUGAGGUAAUGGCCCACCAAACCUGUAACCGGUACGGGCUUUGAGAUAAGGAGCCCGGAGAUGCGCACUGAGAUUAGGGCCCAGGCCCUAUGGCGCGCAGCAGGCGCGAAACCUCUGCAAUAGGCGAAAGCUUGACAGGGUUACUCUGAGUGAUGCCCGCUAAUGCUAUCUUUUGUCACCUCUAACAAUGGUGCAGAAUAAGGGGUGGGCAAGUCUGGUGUCAGCCGCCGCGGUAAUACCAGCACCCCGAGUUGUCGGGACGAUUAUUGGGCCUAAAGCAUCCGUAGCCUGUUCUGCAAGUCCUCCGUUAAAUCCACCCGCUUAACGUAUGGGCUGCGUUCCAUACUGCACAGCUAGCAGGCGAGAGAGGCAAACGCUACUCAUUGGGUAGAGGUAAAAUCCUUUGAUCUACUGAAGACCACCAGUGGCGAAUCCGCCUUGCCAGAACGCGCUCGACGCUCAUGUAUGAAAGCUGGCGCAUCAAACCGAAUUAUAUACCCCUGUACUCCCAGCUGUAAACGAUGCAUACCCCAUGAUGGCUUGUCCUCAACUCAGUCCCAUGUCCGCACGUAGCCCCUUAACUCUCCGCCUGCCGAACCCCCCCCCACAACCCAAACCUCACCCCAUUUACGGGAACAGUCCCCCCUGAGUCUAAACCCUUCAAAUCAAAAUUUUAUCCACCCUCUGGAACCCCUACUUGGGAACCA